rnacentral:rRNA from 1 species
CGCCUACGGGGCGCAGCAGUGGGGAAUAUUGCACAAUGGGGGGAACCCUGAUGCAGCAAUGCCGCGUGGGUGAAGAAGCACUCCGGUGCGUAAAGCCCUGUCAGCAGGGAAGAAAAUGACAGUACCUGGACAAGAAGCCCCGGCUAACUACGUGCCAGCAGCCGCGGUAAUACGUAGGGGGCAAGCGUUAUCCGGAUUUAUUGGGUUUAAAGGGUGCGUAGGCGGGCAUUUAAGCCGGCGGUCAAAUGUCGGGGCUCAACCCCGGCCUGCCGUCGGAACUGGGGGCCUUGAGUGGGCGAGAAGUA